UACGGAGGGUGCAAGCGUUAAUCGGAAUUACUGGGCGUAAAGGGUGCGUAGGUUGUUUUUUAAGUUAUCUGUAAAAUCCCUGGGCUCACCCUGGGCAUGUCAGAUAGGACUGAGGGACUCGAGUAUAGGAGAGGGUAGUGGAAUUUCCGGUGGAGCGGUGAAAUGCGUAGAGAUCGGAAGGAACACCAGUGGCGAAGGCGGCUACCUGGCCUAAUACUGACACUGAGGCACGAAAGCGUGGGGAGCAAACAGG
rnacentral:rRNA from 1 species